rnacentral:rRNA from 1 species
GAUGAACGCUGGCGGCGUGCUUAACACAUGCAAGUCGAACGGAAAGGCUCCUGCUUGCAGGGGUACUCGAGUGGCGAACGGGUGAGUAACACGUGGGUGAUCUGCCCUGCACUUCGGGAUAAGCCUGGGAAACUGGGUCUAAUACCGGAUAGGACGAUGGUUUGGAUGCCAUUGUGGAAAGUUUUUCGGUGUGGGAUGAGCUCGCGGCCUAUCAGCUUGUUGGUGGGGUAAUGGCCUACCAAGGCGUCGACGGGUAGCCGGCCUGAGAGGGUGUACGGCCACAUUGGGACUGAGAUACGGCCCAGACUCCUACGGGAGGCAGCAGUGGGGAAUAUUGCACAAUGGGCGCAAGCCUGAUGCAGCGACGCCGCGUGGGGGAUGACGGCCUUCGGGUUGUAAACUCCUUUCCCUAGGGACGAAGCGCAAGUGACGGUACCUGGAGAAGAAGCACCGGCUAACUACGUGCCAGCAGCCGCGGUAAUACGUAGGGUGCGAGCGUUGUCCGGAAUUACUGGGCGUAAAGAGCUCGUAGGUGGUUUGUCGCGUCGUUUGUGUAAGCCCGCAGCUUAACUGCGGGACUGCAGGCGAUACGGGCAUAACUUGAGUGCUGUAGGGGAGACUGGAAUUCCUGGUGUAGCGGUGGAAUGCGCAGAUAUCAGGGGGAACACCGAUGGCGAAGGCAGGUCUCUGGGCAGUAACUGACGCUGAGGAGCGAAAGCAUGGGUAGCGAACAGGAUUAGAUACCCUGGUAGUCCAUGCCGUAAACGGUGGGCGCUAGGUGUGAGUCCCUUCCACGGGGUUCGUGCCGUAGCUAACGCAUUAAGCGCCCCGCCUGGGGAGUACGGCCGCAAGGCUAAAACUCAAAGGAAUUGACGGGGGCCCGCACAAGCGGCGGAGCAUGUGGAUUAAUUCGAUGCAACGCGAAGAACCUUACCUGGGCUUGACAUACACCAGAUCGCUGCAGAGAUGUAGUUUCCCUUUGUGGUUGGUGUACAGGUGGUGCAUGGUUGUCGUCAGCUCGUGUCGUGAGAUGUUGGGUUAAGUCCCGCAACGAGCGCAACCCUUGUCUUAUGUUGCCAGCACGUUAUGGUGGGGACUCGUGAGAGACUGCCGGGGUUAACUCGGAGGAAGGUGGGGAUGACGUCAAAUCAUCAUGCCCCUUAUGUCCAGGGCUUCACACAUGCUACAAUGGUCGGUACAACGCGUCUGCGAGCCUGUGAGGGUGAGCUAAUCGCUGUAAAGCCGGUCGUAGUUCGGAUUGGGGUCUGCAACUCGACCCCAUGAAGUCGGAGUCGCUAGUAAUCGCAGAUCAGCAACGCUGCGGUGAAUACGUUCCCGGGCCU